CUCAUGGUCGUCAUGCGUCGUUUUUUCUGUUUCGUCAGGGGACUACAAGGACAAGGAUGGUGUCAAGGGCCUGUGCGUCGUGGGCGCCAUCAACAACUGUACCUCCCAGCUCCCCACCUAUGGGAGAUCUUCUCCCCCAUAAUUGCAGAUAAUAUAACACAAGCGCUCAUGUUCCUCUCGCACUUCAUCAGAGACAUACACUAGCCACUUCACUCCGACAAAGGAGGGAACACCGUCGACUUCCACUGGUACGCAAGGAAGACUGUUUUACACUAUGUACGUACGUCAAAUACUAGACAUCAUCAGUCAUGAUCUUGAAAUCUAUAGGAACCUGGAUG